AUUUCAUUAAUGCUAUUUACUUAUUUCUUAAAUGCGCUGUACAUUUCAUUAAUUUUUUAGAUUAAAAACAAAGUAAAUUUCAUUAAAGGCUAUUGAAUGCAGAAUUUAGUUGACGAAAAUACUCUGGCUGCCUUCGCAUCGAAUAGUUACUGAGGUUCAUUGCUUCUACAAUUUUGUUGCAUUCUCAUUUGGCAGGGGUGAAAGAUUUAAGGAAGCAGAACAUUUUAUUUGCGCAAAGUUUCCUAAGAAGACUCCAUAAAUCCAGGGUAUCCUUUGCACAACACAGUCUUACCAAUUUCACAUGCUUACUGCUCAAGGCUGAGGCCCGCCUAAUAUUUUAUUCUCUGGACUUUGUUAUGAGGAGGUUUGAGGAAAGCGGCAGGAAGAAGACAGAAAGUAAAAGUAAAAGUUAGUGUUAAAGCGGGAGAAGGAGAGCAAUCAAUUGUGGCCCUCUCAAGAAUGUUCAUCUUAAAUUGGAUUCCUUUUAAUGUUUGUAAUGUGAAAUGUUUAUAGAUAUUAGGUAAGUAAAUAGAACUACUUAAUAUCUUAAAAUGUAAGGAAAUGGAAAUAAAUAAUGUAAAUUUGUGUUUGGUUGAUC